GCAGAUGGUACUGCUGAACCAAAUGUGUGAAAGGCUAGUAACUCAUAGAUGCAUAUAAUUUUUAGAGUUGGAAGAGACCAAGGAGUUAAAUUCAUCUAACUCCCAUUCUAUAAGUAUUUCAGAUGACUGCAGUUGUGCAGUAUCCCAGUGUUAUCUCUUCCUUUCCUUAUUUCAAAACACAAUUGGCAGAAGGAAUGCAGAGCUCCUUGUCAUAUGAAUCGCAUGUCCCUUUCUUUCUCCGUCUUCAUGAUGGAAGUGAGAAAUUUCUAUGGCUAGGUAGAGCAGCCUUCUUGCAACUUUGAGGAUGAAAGCUACAAGUUAAAGUGGUGGAAAAGGAAGCCAGAAGGAGCUUGUGACUUUCUUGAAC
rnacentral:lncRNA from 1 species